AGGACGAACGCUGGCGGCGUGCCUCAUACAUGCAAGUGGAGCGACGAACCAGGAUUUAUCCUGGGGCAAAGCCGCGAACGGGUGAGUAACACGUGGGUUACCUGCCCCGAUGAUUGGGACAACCCGAGGAAACUCGGGCUAAUACCAAAUGUGUUCCUGGUCGUGAUGACCAAGAAGAAAGGAAGCCUCGGCCUCCGCAUCGGGAUGGGCCCGCGGCCCAUUAGCUAGUUGGUGGGGUAAUGGCCUACCAAGGCGACGAUGGGUAGCUGGUCUGAGAGGACGAUCAGCCACACUGGGACUGAGACACGGCCCAGACUCCUACGGGAGGCAGCAGUCGGGAAUUUUGCUCAAUGGACGAAAGUCUGAAGCAGCAACGCCGCGUGAGGGAUGAAGGCCUUCGGGUUGUAAACCUCUUUUAUCAGGGACGAUAAUGACGGUACCUGAUGAAUAAGUCACGGCUAACUACGUGCCAGCAGCCGC
rnacentral:rRNA from 1 species